CGUAGUCGCCGAGUGCUGCACGACGGCACAAGCACUAGGCGACGGCGGCUGGCGGUGGCAGGUGGCUGUGCUGCGCGCGCGGCAGCUCAGGGAACCGGGAAUCCGGGAUGCGGCUGUCGAGGUCACUGUGGCCGCCGCUGGAGGUUGAAGGGAGAUGGUCAGCUGGCGGGGGCUAAUGGGCUAUGGCUACGAGCAGUCAGGGUCAGUGUUCCCUGGUGAAUUGAAAAGCUAUGGGGAAUCAGGGAUUCAAUUGGGAAUUUUGCUCGAGAAUGGUCUGCAACGAGAAGGCGCCUUCUGCUUAGACUGCAGGUGGGGGGAGAAGUCAGUUUGGCACCAGCAACAAGAAGCUGAGGACCCAGUCUCAUAUGCAGUUACUGCCGAUCGAGCAAUCCACUUCACACGUUCCUAGUCGUACCUCCGUGCAGCUAUCAUUGGCUUUUCUAUAUUAAUAGAUUUUGCAUAAUAGUAGAGCUCUUUUGCGGUACAUAAUACUACUACUUAGUGAUAUAUAUCGAACUAUUCAUUAUUACGGAUAAUUUAGUAAUUCAUAUGUUAUAAAAAGUGAUACU